rnacentral:rRNA from 1 species
CGGCGAGUGAAGCGGCAACAGCUCAAAUUUGAAAGCUAGCCUUCGGGUUNGCAUUNGUAAUUUGUAGAGGAUGAUUUGGGGAAGCCGCCUGUCUAAGUUCCUUGGAACAGGACGUCAUAGAGGGUGAGAAUCCCGUAUGUGACAGGAAAUGGCACCCUAUGUAAAUCUCCUUCGACGAGUCGAGUUUGUUUGGGAAUGCAGCUCUAAAUGGGAGGUAAAUUUCUUCUAAAGCUAAAUAUUGGCGAGAGACCGAUAGCGCACAAGUAGAGUGAUCGAAAGAUGAAAAGCACUUUGGAAAGAGAGUUAAAAAGCACGUGAAAUUGUUGAAAGGGAAGCGCUUGCAAUCAGACUUGUUUAAACUGUUCGGCCGGUCUUCUGACCGGUUUACUCAGUUUGGACAGGCCAGCAUCAGUUUCGGCGGCCGGAUAAAGGCUCUGGGAAUGUGGCCUCCACUUCGGUGGAGGUGUUAUAGCCCAGGGUGUAAUACGGCCAGCCGGGACUGAGGUCCGCGCUUCGGCUAGGAUGCUGGCGUAAUGGUUGUAA